UACGUAGGAGGCGAGCGUUGUCCGGAAUUACUGGGCGUAAAGCGCGCGUAGGUGGCGCUGUACGAGCGGUGUGAAAGCCCCCGGCUCAACUGGGGAGGGUCACUCGAUACUGAUCGACUCGAAGGCAGGAGAGGGAAGCGGAAUUCCCGGUGUAGUGGUGAAAUGCGUAGAUAUCGGGAGGAACACCAGUGGCGAAGGCGGCUUUCUGGCCUGUUCUUGACGCUGAGGCGCGAAAGCUAGGGUAGCAAACGGG
rnacentral:rRNA from 1 species